AAUGUAUGUAUUGACGAAAGCUUAACGCAACUUGUUCAAUGUCAGUGUCAUAUCUAAGACCCUUUCUGUGGAGGAAAGAAACGAAAUAUAUUUUCACCCACUUUUUAAAUAAAAAAAUUUCUCUCUAAAAUAACGUCACAGUCACAACAAUUUUAUUGAUAGACACUAGAAUUGGACUCUUUUAUGUUUGUAACGCAUAGCAUUUUAAGACAUAAAAUAAUUAAUUUUCUGGUAUGCUCGGAGUUUACUAGGAAUAAACGUGUUCACAGACUAGAAGAAGAGAAAAAAAAAUAAAAAGUAAAAUAGCAA